rnacentral:ncRNA from 2 species
GUGUACGAAAGAUUUUCAGGUUCCACCCCGGUGGAUAAAAAGGGAACCCGGUGUAAGUCCGGGACGGGCCCGCCGCUGUAAUCCUGCCCUCAUGCCAGUUUGGUGAGGGAACUCUCUCAGCCAGUUGUGCGCCACUGCAUUUCGCGGGAAGGCCGCCGAGAGAGCAGGAAAGUCAGAAGACCUGCCUGAAAUGAGCUGGUGAA